CGGGGCGUCAUAGAGGGUGAGAAUCCCGUAUGUGGCCGGCGGUCAAUUCCAUGUGAAACCCCUUCGACGAGUCGAGUUGUUUGGGAAUGCAGCUCAAAAUGGGUGGUAAAUUUCAUCUAAAGCUAAAUACCGGCCAGAGACCGAUAGCGCACAAGUAGAGUGAUCGAAAGAUGAAAAGCACUUUGGAAAGAGAGUUAAACAGUACGUGAAAUUGUUGAAAGGGAAGCGCUUGCAACCAGACUUGCUCGCGGGUGAUCAGCCUCCCGCGAGGGGGGUGCACUCGCCCGCGAUCAGGCCAGCAUCGGUUUUGGCGGGCGGAUAAAGUCUCCAGGAAUGUAGCUCCCCUCGGGGAGUGUUAUAGCCUGGGGCGUAAUGCGCCCAACCGGGACCGAGGACCGCGCUUCGGCUAGGAUGCUGGCGUAAUGGUUGUAAGCGACCCGUCUUGAAACACGG
rnacentral:rRNA from 1 species